rnacentral:rRNA from 1 species
GACGUCUACGAGUUUGAUCCUGGCUCAGAACGAACGCUGGCGGCAUGCCUAACACAUGCAAGUCGAACGAACCCUUCGGGGUGAGUGGCGCACGGGUGCGUAACGCGUGGGAACCUGCCCUUAGGUUCGGAAUAACAGUGAGAAAUCGCUGCUAAUACCGGAUAAUGUCUUCGGACCAAAGAUUUAUCGCCUUUGGAUGGACCCGCGUUGGAUUAGCUAGUUGGUGGGGUAAAGGCUCACCAAGGCGACGAUCCAUAGCUGGUCUUAGAGGAUGAUCAGCCACACUGGGACUGAGACACGGCCCAGACUCCUACGGGAGGCAGCAGUGGGGAAUAUUGGACAAUGGGCGAAAGCCUGAUCCAGCAAUGCCGCGUGAGUGAUGAAGGCCUUAGGGUUGUAAAGACUCUUUUGUUCAGGGAAGAAACGACUCCGGGCUAAUACCCUGGGGUAAUGACGGUACCUGAAGAAUAAGCACCGGCUAACUACGUG